rnacentral:lncRNA from 1 species
CCAAAGAGGUCUGGGGCUGACAGCACCUGCCCUGGGGACACCGCCUGACGGGGGUCUGAGAGGGUACACUGUGUGUGUCCUGUUUGUGAGCAGGCCUUUGGCAUUGUCUCCACAACUAGCAGUGAUGAGCACCUGAUAAUCCUGUAUUCUCCAAGCUGAGCUUUUGUGUGAAAGAACAUGAGGCCAUAUAGCGCCUGAGAAGAAGAAAGCAAAUUAUUGGAAAAGUGUUAUAAGAUGGGUGCACUAAGGCUGCUGCAAAAUGGAUGAAGCAAAAACAGGGAGAGAGAUUGAGGGGAUCACACAAGCACAGCUUUAGCACCUCUGGGGAAGUAAUGGCUGUUUUGUUUACAAUGGGCAGCCUGGAUCCAGUUCUUCCUUCCCAAAGUGCAUUUGUGCUGCAGAGAAUAUGUAGGGAUUGUGAAUGUACUCCUAAGUAGCAUUCCACAGUUGAACUAAUUGCCAGGCCAAGCGAGGGACCACAGUAAAUGGGUGAAUAAUUUGAUCCAAGAUGGAUUUGUACUCUACCAACACAGCCUGAAAUCUUCUAAUGCUUUUGGAUUUGACUGUGAGCUGUUCAUUGUUGUUUGAGCCUGUUCUUUUCUAUUACCAUAUUUUCUCUGGAUAUCAUUUCUGUGUACCUUAUCUUUGUAUAAAAGGCCACAUCUUUACCAUAUUUCCAGGGAGUAGUCAGUAGAGGCAUACAAAAUUUACUGCUGUAGACCAAAAUAUGACAGAUAAAGGUAGUGCAUUACAAAGUUCUUGCCCUCAAUCACGCAGAAGGCUCUCUAUGCUUCUGUGAGCAGUGGCACGAGUGUGGCUGCACUGUAAUGGGAGAAGGGUUAACAGCAAACCAAGACAUUUUCUGCAGCAAAAAGAGGUGGACUCUUCUCCAAGCAAUUACCUUUUAUGUAAUAAACAAUGUCAGUGGUCAAUAGAGGGAGUUUUC